GUUGCCUACAAGAUGUAGGAUGCUCAGUUACUCCCCUAGCACUAUGUCUGCCUGCACGCCACCAUGUUCCCUGCCAUGAUGAUAAUGGACUGAACCUUUAAAACUCUUUAGAAGCUUCCAGACGUUUGCUAUCCCAUUCAGUAAGGUGCCUGAGGGAAGAUGGACGUCUUCUGAACAGUAAAAAUCCAGAGUCUAAAGAGAGAUCUUCACUGAAGUCACAUAACAAUCAGCUCUGCUUAAUCUCUAUGAAGAUAAUAGCACAAUGAGAGCUGGCAAAAUUUCUACAUGGAGCAGGGAGCUGCUAGAGGAUCAAGAGAGAUCAAGAAAUACAAAAGAAGUUCAAAGCCAUAAUUUUUACAUCAGAUAUUGCCCUUGGACUUGGAGCAUCAAAAGAAUAUCAGAAGAGUGGCUUGCU
rnacentral:lncRNA from 1 species